rnacentral:rRNA from 1 species
UUUGGUGAUCAUAGCACCAAUGAAACACCCGAUCCCAUCCCGAACUCGGCAGUUAAGCAUGGUUGCGCCGAUGGUACUGCAACUUAAGUUGUGGGAGAGUAGGUCAUCGCCAAUC